rnacentral:rRNA from 1 species
AUGAAGAAGGCUGACAAGUUCGAGUGGACUCCAGAAGCUGAUGCAGCGUUUGCCGAGCUAAAAGCUCUGCUCUCCACCCAGCCGGUGCUUGCUGCUCCAAUCAGCAAAGAGCCUCUGUUGCUCUACAUCGCAGCCACAGGACAAGUUGUCAGUACUGUGCUAACGGUCGAGCGGGAAGAAGAAGGAAAAGCUCUCAAAGUUCAGCGCCCAGUGUAUUAUUUGUCUGAAGUCUUGACUCCAUCCAAGCAGAGAUAUCCUCAUUAUCAGAAGCUUGUGUAUGGAAUAUACAUGACCACAAAGAAGGUUGCUCAUUAUUUCUCUGACCAUUCAAUCACAGUCGUCAGCGACGCUCCACUAUCAGAGAUUUUGCACAACAGAGAUGCAACUGGUCGAGUGGCCAAGUGGGCGAUUGAACUUCUUCCCCUUGAUAUCAAGUUUGAGGCAAAGAAAGCCAUUAAGUCCCAGGCAAUAGCAGAUUUCCUCGCCGAGUGGAUCGAACAGCAGCAGCCGACUGAAGUUCACUCGGAGCAUUGGACCAUGUUUUUCGAUGGUUCUAAGAUGUUGAAUGGUUCCGGUGCUGGGGUUGUCCUGGUUUCCCCCAGAGGAGAUAAGCUCAGAUAUGUGCUCCAGAUUCACUUUGAUUCCUCCAACAAUGAGGCAGAAUAUGAGGCCCUCCUAUAUGGGUUGCGCAUGGCCAUUUCACUCGGCGUCCGUCGCCUAAUGGUCUAUGGCGACUCGGAUUUAGUGGUCAAUCAGGUGAUGAAAGAGUGGGACGUGAGAAGCCCAGCCAUGACUGGAUACUGCAGUGCAGUGAGAAAGCUGGAGAAAAAGUUCGAGGGGUUGGAGCUCCAUCAUAUACCCCGACUGAAAAAUCAAGCAGCUGAUGAUCUAGCAAAGAUAGGUUCCAAGAGAGAAGCCAUUCCGAGUGGUGUGUUCUUGGAGCAUAUACAUACUCCGUCAGUCAAAGAAGAUCCUUUCACCGAAGAAACUCCGCAGCCCAAGAGCGCCACAGAUCCGACUGAAGUUGAAGUCCCAGCGGUGGUCGACUUGAUCAUGGAGGAAGAAAGGGAGAUGGCUCUGAUCCGGUCGACCAUCUACCAACAAGAUCUGCGCCGUUUCCACGCCCGAAAUGUGAGAGGUCGAGCCUUCCAGGAAGGGGAUUUGGUUCUCCGAGUGGAUCAGCACAAACCACACAAGCUUGCUCCUUCUUGGGAAGGCCCCUUCAUCGUCACCAAGGUUCUCCACAACGGGGCGUACCGUCUUUACAACGUCGAGCAUAAUAUCGACGAGCCCCGAGCUUGGAACGCGGAGCUACUCCGCCCGUUUUACACUUAA